rnacentral:lncRNA from 1 species
UGAAAACUCACCAUGUAAAUGAGUGAUCAGAAAUACAUACUAUUCUUGUAAAAUGGCUCAAAAUACCUGAUUACCUGUCAGUGUUAACAUCUUUUAAAAUAGUAGUCAUGGCCUACACAAGAUGCCUAGGUGUUUAUCUAUGUCAUGUGUGGAUAGCACCCAGAUAAAUCUCAGGAAAAAUGUAUAUGAAAUGGUCAGUGUGUUAGCGAUUAUUGAUAUGGAGUGUUCACCUGAAUGGUGAGCAUGAACAGAAGCAUGCUUGUGCCAACAAAGAAGAAAGAAGCUCACCUGGAUGUAGCUCAGCUGGCAAGUCCUGAAUAUGAAUAUCCAUGGAGGAAUGUGAGGGCAGCCUGCUACCUCAUGUCAGCAUCCAUUAUAAGGCACCAUGCAAUGUGACAUGACACGGUAUGACAGAUGCAAUCCAACCCAAUAUGGCACCUGUGAAGUCAUUGCAGAUGAGGGAGUUAGAGCUCAUGUGCUCUCAUAUCUUAGCAAAGAAAUAUUGGAGAAAUGCUCAGCCAGUUUAUAGAAUCUUCAGAAAAAGAGUGGAAGAAGCUGUUUGUUUGAAUCUUUGUCUCAUACCUAGUACCAGACCAUUCAUGUUUGUAAAAAGUGUACUGAGCAAAGGCAAGCUGUUCCAACUCAACAUAUUUACUUCUAUGUUGCAUAAUCAUUCUGCUAGUCAGUCGUUUUAACAUCAAUAUGUCCAUAAUAAUAAUAGAAGGACUAGUGAUAAUAAUAACUCUCAUUUAUUUUUACGGUAAAUCAUUUUUGAAGAGUUUUAAAUUUAUUAUUCUAAUUGUGAAAAAAUGAAUGCACAGAGAAAUGGACAGACACGAAUAUGUCUUAUCUCUAUUGAAGAUGUUGUAAGGUGACAUGACUGAUUUUGGCAUAUCUAGUAUUCUUUUUCAAAACUCCAAACUCAUGAUGAAUGUCCUCUGCACUCUGCCUUCAAUCUUUCUAAAAGCAACAACUAAAUCUCAGUCACAUUUAGGAAAUGUAAAAAAUACACAAUGUUUCUUUGUGUAAAAUGUUUCUUGCAUAUGUUAAUAUCAAAAGCAACAGUGUACAAGCAUUCUAAAAUGUCCAUAAUAAUAGUGACACAAAGUAUACAUUAAAAGGAAGUGAGUAAUUUGUGACUUCAAAUUUGUUAAUUUUGCUUGACAGAUAAUUUAAUUUUGUUUUAACUGUCUUCAUAUACAAGUUACAUAUUUUCCCAUUUCAAAAGAUUCAUGGACUAAAAUAAACUAUAGGUAGUUAGCA